rnacentral:rRNA from 1 species
GUGGGGAAUAUUGCGCAAUGGGGGAAACCCUGACGCAGCGACGCCGUGUGAGGGAAGAAGGCUUUCGGGUCGUAAACCUCUGUCAGAAAGGAAGAACCUCCCAAGUCCGAAUAGGGCUUGGGACUGACGGUACUUUCAAAGGAAGCACCGGCUAACUCCGUGCCAGCAGCCGCGGUAAUACGGAGGGUGCAAGCGUUAAUCGGAAUCACUGGGCGUAAAGCGCGCGUAGGCCGCUUUGUAAGUCGGACGUGAAAGCCCUCGGCUCAACCGGGGAACUGCGUUCGAUACUGCGAGGCUUGAGUCCUGGAGAGGGUGGCGGAAUUCCGGGUGUAGGAGUGAAAUCCGUAGAUAUCCGGAGGAACACUGGUGGCGAAGGCGGCCACCUGGACAGGUACUGACGCUGAGGCGCGAAAGCGUGGGGAGCAAACAGGAUUAGAUACCCCUGUAGUCC